CGCGGAAUGGUGUAAUGUUAGCAUAUUGGUUUCAGAAGCCAAAGGUAAAAGUUCAAUUCUUUUUUCCGCAA
rnacentral:tRNA from 1 species